GGGAAAAUAUAGUCAAGAAUACAUAACAAAUAACAAGAGAUUGUUCUAGCUUUGUGAACAAAAACCAAUAUAAAUAGGAAGAUGUGGAAUGAGUUCCAAUUCUCUAUCCAAGUCAAAGUCUUGGCUUCAACACGGAACAUAGGCUCAACAGCUAGCUAUAAAGGGCCAAAAAGAGACUAGUGUAAAACAAUUCAAACAGGAAACGCAACGGAUUUAUCUAUAUAAAUAACGAAAAAUACUAAUGAACCACACAAAUAAACGACAACAACUAAACACCAGGUUCUGACUGUUGACCUUAUCGUGCAUUAAUUUUUUGUUCAUUCAAAAAAUACUACUAUUUAUUAAUGUAUAAGAAGUCAAAGUUAGGAAAUUUCAUUUUAUUUUUAUCUUUUUUAAAAAUAUAUAAAGAGAAGACAAUUAUUUACAAAUAUCAAUAGACGUGAUAAUAAAAACUACAGUUCAACAAUGCAAACCAAAAUGGACAUAAUGCAAUGUCCCUGUCAAACCUAUUCAAAUAGUUUAGGGAACCAAGUCAAUAGCUUAAUGAAAAUCCAUCAGAAAAUUGGCUCAGUUUAAAAUAAGAGUUAUGACUAAGUUCAAUAUUAGUGAAUAUGUUCACGACAAUAAUGUAGGACGUUACAAAUAAACCUAACAGAUAACAAAGAUACCC
rnacentral:lncRNA from 1 species